GCACCGAAGCUGCGGCAGCGAACGUAUCACUUAAAGCGAUUCAGCGGAUGACGAUUGACGGAGCGAAGCGACGUCAAAGCGUUUUACAACGUCGAGUCGGUUUAAGGAUACGUUCGUUGGGUAGGGGAGCGUUCUGUAAGCCUGCGAAGGUGGCCUGUGAGGGUUGCUGGAGGUAUCAGAAGUGCGAAUGCUGACAUAAGUAACGAUAAUGCGGGUGAAAAACCCGCACGCCGGAAGACCAAGGGUUCC
rnacentral:rRNA from 1 species